CCUACGGGAGGCAGCAGUGGGGAAUAUUGCGCAAUGGGCGAAAGCCUGACGCAGCGACGCCGCGUGAGGGAUGAAGGUCUUCGGAUCGUAAACCUCUGUCAGCAGGGAAGAACGGUCACUGUGCUAAUCAGCAGUGAAUUGACGGUACCUGCAAAGGAAGCACCGGCUAACUCCGUGCCAGCAGCCGCGGUAAUACGGAGGGUGCGAGCGUUAAUCGGAAUUACUGGGCGUAAAGCGCUCGUAGGCGGUAUGUCAAGUCAAGGGUGAAAUCCCCGCGCUCAACGUGGGAACUGCCUUUGAAACUGGCAAACUGGAGUGUGUGAGAGGAUAGUGGAAUGCCAGGUGUAGGAGUGAAAGCCGUAGAUAUCUGGAGGAACAUCAGUGGCGAAGGCGACUAUCUGGCACAUAACUGACGCUGAGGAGCGAAAGCGUGGGUAGCAAACAGGAUUAGAUACCCUAGUAGUC
rnacentral:rRNA from 1 species